GCGCGGCCUGGUAGGAGUAAAUCCGGUGCCCGCCGCCUCAGGUGCGGCUCCAGCGCUCACGUACUCGGGCGUGCUGCCAUCAUCCGCGGGUCCCUACGGGAGAUGUACCACUGACAAUGAGUUAUAAUGCGUAAUGGUGGAGAAAAGAAAAGAAUGAAUCCGCAAUAUAUCGUGCUGCGGAAGAUUCGCUGCACUUUCACAACGAGGACUUUGCAUCCGAACGCCAAGGGUGACGAUGCGUCUUGAAUCUAGAGCGAACGACACUAAUAAUGUGUAUGGGUGUGGAAAAAGUGACGUAACAGUUUCCCUGGGCGAGAUAGAUGCGUGACGUAACGCAACGCCGCGACUCUUCCGCGAGCGAUUAUUCAUCGCGUCACCUUUAAAUGACGAUCUGACAACGGUGGUAGUUUAGUUUACAUAAUCACCGGCGAAAUGCUGGCGCUUUCUAGUCCGGCGCGUGUUGCCCCGCGGCGGCCGCCGCUUUUACGCGACGACCGGCGCUUUCGAAACGGAAAUGGAAAAGCUGCGCGCACGUGCCAUUUAAAUUGCCGCGGCCGGGUUCUCUCUUUAUCGACUUACCUUUAAUUACCGUCGAGCUUUAAUCUCUCGCUGGCGCGUGCGGAGACUGCAGCCUGCUUUUAAUCGCGCGGGAAUUCACACGAAAAAUUCCGCCGAUCGGCUUUCUCGAUGCGCGAAACAAGUUUCCUCAAUUAAUCUCAAAGUGACACUAUAUAAUUUUCUGAAAAAAAAACUCUUCCCGAUGCGCGAUACUCUCUUAUUUUAAAUAUCCAAUUAAAUUUGAACUUUAAUAAAAAAAAAAGGGGUGUAAAUAUUUAUAUAUUUCCAUUAACGAUAAUAAAAAACGCCGCAUAUAUAUAUAUUCAUAGUUAACAUAACUUUUAUAAAUAAAAGCAGAUUAUUAUUUACAGUCCCUCUGUGCACGGCGAUAAUAAUAGCGGUAACAUGAAAAAUGUCACGUAAUUCAUUAUUGAUAACGGUUACAUGAGAGGAUAAUAUAUUUUGUUACGCUUCUCUCAGGAAGGAAAGGGUUGGAUAUAUUUGCUCGAGGGCAAAAGCGUGCCGCUCGCGGCUAAAUACAGCGCGAACAGGCAUUCUUCUCCUCUCCCCCCCCCGUCCCCUCACCCCGUCGUCCGACGCGCGGAAUCCGUGUCGACCUCUUCUCGGUCGGACAAGGUGUGCGCUUUGCAAUUCCGAGCGCUCGUGUUCGCUCGACGAUUCGCGCGACAGGUACGGGAACACACCGUCGUCGUUGCGUAUCGCCUCGCGUCCUCGUUAAAUACCUGCGUUGCAUUCCGACGCGGAGACAGAAAGCGGGGAAAAAAAUGCGAGAGAAAGAGAAGCUGGUGGCGAGGAGUUGAAGAGGGGGGACGGGGGGUGGAAGAAAUAUUAUUUUGCGAUCCAGGACAGUUUUCCACGCGGACAAACGGCUCCAAAGAGAGCUUUCUUUUUCUCAAUUUUAAUAAUAAUAAUGUCUCAAAGAGAGAUUAUUAUUGCACGUAAUGACGCGCGUAAGUCUGGAUUUUGCGAUUGAAAGAAUAAAAUAAUCGUGAAAUAUUCGGAGGAGACGUAAUUCUAAUUCCGUAAAAAUUAAAAGCUUGAGUAAACUUGUUAGCUUACAAUUAUUUUUUUUAUAUUUAUAUUUUAAAAAAUGUUUUGUCGCGCGCAAAAAUGUGAUUAUUCCAAAAAGCAAUCCUACUCUCUAAAUUACAAUCAGUGAAAAGUUAUUGAAAUCAGUAAAAUACACUGAGUUCAGUGGUAUAAUUUGUGAAUCAGUAAAAUAAAUACAUUGAUUUUUCGGUGAUUGUAUGUACUAAUUCUGAAGUAAAAAUGACUAAAAAUCAGUGGAUACUUACUAAUUAUUACAGUUAUGAGUGUACCACUGCAAAUCAGUGAAAAUACACUGGUUGCAAUUUAGAGAGUAGACAUAAAAUCUCCAUCGCUCUUUUACGCAAAAGAAAAAAAUCUAGACAAAUUUAUUGGCUCGUAUAAUAACGGAUUGUCACAAGAAAUUAAAUGAGUUGUUUGUUAAAUUACAAUCAGUGCAAACUCAGUCAAAAUACACUGAUUUUCAGUGAUGUAUUCAUAACUUGUCAAUCGGUGAAAUAAAUACACUGAUCUUUCAACGAUUAACACAUUAAUUCCGAAAUAAAAAUUGCUAAAAGACAACGAAUACUCGUUAAUUAUCACAGUUAUAAAUAUACCACUGCAAAUUAGUGGCAAUACACUGAUUGCAAUUUAGAGCUUGAGACGUUUCGCGACGGUCCGGCUUCGUAAUCGCGCGCGCGCGCGCGUCCGCAUGAUGCUGCGGAAAACCUCGGCGGAGAGCCCGGACUAUUUUCCAUGUACUUUCCCGUAUUAUGCAAGUCCCGUCGCGCUCGAGCGCGGCGGGACGGGGCGUCGUCGGUCUCAUGCAAUGCCGCGAUUUGCGCAAUAAACCGCACCGGCGACGAUGUCAUCGGGCGGCAUACCGUGCUGUAUCGGCCGCCGCGCCGCGCGCCGUGCCGUGCCGAUUGCCGCGCGCCGCGCCGUGCACAUUGCGUGCACGUGUCGGGAAGGGUGAACGCGUGGUCGCGCGCGUGACUCCGCGCGGCCGAGGCGUGCCCUUCUCCCGAUCACGUGGAAUGUAACGCGGUCUGGUCCGAGCACAUUCUCGCCAUCCUCGUCUCCCUCUCGCCGUCCGCUCUUUUGCGCUCGCGGAGCGCUUCUCGAUUCCCUCGACCGCGGAGGCGGAAAAUUCAACCGGUCCUGAUGAAAUUCCUUCCCGAUGAUCACAAACCAUCCUCCCCCCCCCUUCUCUCUCUCUCUCUCUCUCUCUCUUUUUCUCGUUGUAUUUUUAGUAUUUCUGAUGAAAGGUGGAUGAAAAAAUAUCUGUAACGUUUUUUGAAAAAUUUUCAUUUAAAAGGGAAAUAUUCUAUGCACAUCGUUCAAAAUACUCUUUCAUUCGGCUGCCUGUCCUCAUUCAUCAUUCACGAAUAUCGUUAUUAUUUAUGUCAUUUAUAAUAUAUUAAUAUACUGUUUCUUGAGUAGGGCAAUACAUCACUCAAUUCUUUUCUCUACAUUUUAGAGAACUGAAAGUUUUCCAAUAAUUAUUAAUAAUUUAUCUUUCCGGCAUUACCUUCUUUCUAAACAGAAAUCAGAAAUUUUGCGAAGCAACUUGAACUUUUUCCCAGAAAGAUACUCGAGGUGCAAGGAACGAGUACAACAAACGGGUCGUAAAAGUCAGGUCGCACAAUUAACAACAAUUAUCGCAAUUAGCGAUGAUAAUAGCUACGAUAGCCUCUGGCUGGCAAUUAAAUGCAAGAUAUGCGCCACAAAACGGAAUAACCGUUAGUUAAUUUGUAAAUAUAAUGCAGGUAACAAUAAAAAAACAAUACGUGUUUAAAGAGAAUUUCUUUUUUGUCUUCUGAAAUUUAAAGAAGUAUCUUUCUUGCUUUCUUCCAUUUUUAAUAUCGUUAUAAAAUAUUUUAAUCUAUUGUCUCAUCAAUUAUUUUUGGUUUUAUAUAUAAAAUUAUAUUGACUAUAGAUGUAAAUAAUAAGUUAAUAAAAUUUACUUGCAAGAUAGAUUUUAGGCAUAUAAAUAAGAGUUUGCAAGCUCUUUUAAAAGUUAUUAUAUAUAAUUAUUAAUAUAAUUAAAUUACUAUUACUUUUUAAGCAGAUUUUCGAAAAGGUGUGGUAUAUAUCAAAUUUAAUUGCUAUAAAAUAAUUCAAUAAUUGUUACAAAGAUAUUAAAUGAAAACUAAGCAGUCGUAAGACUUCAGGAGUAGGAAAACAUUUAAAAUAUAUGACGAUAUGCGACAAGCAUUAACGAUGCGGGUUAACUAUCUAAUUGUACAGUCGCAUUCGAUAUUUUAAUGGCAAAUAAGAACAUGCAUAAAAUCUUAUUAACGGUUAUCAAAUCAUUUCAUUAGAUUAAUUUUACAUAGUUGAAGCCAAGAGUCAAUUUCUUGUAGAAUUUAAUUAUAUAUAUGUAUAUAUUAAAAUUUUAAAAAGUGUUAUAUUCUCUUAAAGUUAUUUUAAGAAAGAUAUUUACAAAAAGUUACUUUUAUAAUAAUAUAAGUAACUUUUUGCUAACAUUAUAUAAUCGAUACAUAUUUAUUAUGUAAUUUUUUUUACUACCAUUUACUUUCUAAAUUUUUUAGAUUCUCUGUUUAGGCAAACGCUAUCGACUUAUAUGUUCACCUGCUAAAUCUGUGCGUGAAAUCUUUUUUCCUGCAUAACUCAAGUUUCUUUUUAUUACUAUUACUAUAUCUUCGAACAAAUUUAUAAAAUCCUUAAAGGGAUUUUACUUACUUCUCUUUAUUUACAUUUCAUAAUAAUCUUUCAACUUUCUUUUAUUUAAAAUGUAUCAGAACACGCGUUCGAUUUAUAUAAAUUAAGCGGAACAUCACUCGCCAAACAAAACUCACGCGUAAUAACAUUUAAUGUUUCAGUGAAUGUUAAAUGGAUUAGCAUGAUAAAAAAUAAGUGGAACGUUCGUUCCAUUGAUAGAGUAUCGCGUGCUCUCGGCAUGGCCAGUCCGUAAAAGGAAUCGAGUGACAGAGCCGUGACCACCAGUUAAAACUGUCACCAGACUUGCACUUCCGCCCUAAAUACGCGUCUGGAGUACGAGAUCCGGUUCUUACGUACGUGACUGCCACGUACGAGGUCGCCCGUGGUAGAAUGCGAUUUAGUUUUCGAAACAAUAAAACAGCGAGUCGAAAUCGUACGCCGUUAAGAGGGUAAUACACCUGGAUGAAAAUAAGAAUCAUUUUCUGUAUUUUUUUUUUUUUUUUUAAGAAAAAUGUGAAGUCUUUUAGAAUGAGAUUUUUAUUAAAAAA